AGUAUAGAAAUAUAAGAGUGUUUAGAUCACUACUUUAAUGAUCUAUAUUUCGGUUUGCUUGCACGACAUGUUCUUUUUUCUAUUUUUAUCUUUUGUAGGUUUAAAUGUGUGGCGCGGAUAGUAUGGUUGUCUUCUGUACAGACUCCUCGAUUUGUAGGAUAUUUUUCUUAACAUUUUGGAGGAUUGGUUCGUUUAAGGGUUUUUCGCUAUACAAAUUUAUUUUUCAUGGGACUCAAAUAUCUUCGAAAGAAUAUUUUCUUUUGUUGUGCUGAAAUCAAAUAAAAUUAGAUAGAAAUUUUAAUCACAAAGAAUUUGAGGUAAUAUGGCAUGCCACAAUUCUGUGCAUGUUGUUUUCUAUAAUUUACAAAAGUGUGUCGUUAUAAUUUUAUUACUCUUGAGAGUCAAAAUACCAUAAUCAUUUCUAUAUAGACUCAACUCUAUCUGAGUAAUAUGCAAAGAAAAAGGAAACUCUACCGACCGAAUGUUCUCUCGGGAUCUUUCGGCGCCACGUAAUGUCCACUGCUCGAUUCUGCGAGCGGCAGCAAACCUGCACGCCAAAUGAAAACGGGCUGCAAUGCACUUGAGGUGUCGCGGUAAACUUAGUCGGGUUGUAAUACCAGAUGCCAAAUAGAAAACUCAAUUUGACCUCAUGAAAAUCGCAUUCAUACUAUGCUAUUUUCGCAUGGAUGUUUUUUUCUAAAUGCCUAGGGCAUGAUUCUCAUACACCUAUUUACUAUUGACACCCAAUCCGAUUUGUAUGAGGAAAAACCAUCAUUUUUUUUAAAUGAGACUACCCUUCAUUAUCACGUACGUGUAGACAUGGUUUUUUUUUCAGAAUCGUGUAGACAUGAAUAUGCGGUGUCUCCGAGCCAGACUCUAUCCUGGCCUGUUUUUUUCUCUCGUGAGCUGCUACGAUGGGCUGUUGGCCCACGGCAAUGGUGUGCCUCAUAUAGCUUUUCGUGUCCAAAUCGGUACGUCCUAUAUCGAUACACCCAUCUUUGUUUGUCCGCACAAGUAUAUUUAUCGCGCAUCUAUUUUUAUAUCUCAACCAUUAAUUACGCGGCUAGGAUUGGUAUAUUUUAUAUUUUUAUAAUUGAGAUGUGUUUGCUAUUUUUCUUACUCAUAUGGACAUGUAUUUUUUUUUGUUCUUUGACAUUGCUCAGAAGUUUAUAAUUAUUGUUAGUUGAACACCUUCAUAUGCAUUUUCCUCUUCAUACUAUUCUUUGUGUUUCAGUUGAGCGCCUCCAUAUGCAUUUUUCCUCUUCAUACUAUUCUUUUUGUUUCAGUUAUCUCUGUCUAUUAUUUUAGUUUGCCAAAAAAUUAUUUUGUGUGAAUGCCCAACAUUUUCUUUCUUUAUUUUUUUACUACAUGUUCCUAAUCCAUCAUGGAAUACUGAAUUAUGUUUCUUUUUUUGUGAGAAAAUUCUGGAUCUAAUUCCCCACAAUAUAUUCUGUACGUAAUAUACCCAAUUGUGUAAGAAAUGAAAUGAAAAUAUAGGAGUGAAUAAAUGAAAUAGAAAAAUCUAAUAAAUAUUAGUUUUCACUUCAUAAGUACUCCGUUUCUAAAUAUAAGUCUUUGUAGAGAUUUUACUAUGGACUAUAUACGGAGCAAAAUAAGCGAAUCUACCUCUAAAAUGCAUCUUUGUAGAUUCGUAUAUGGUCCGUAGUGAGAUCUGUAAAAGACUUAUAUUUAAGAACGGAGUGAUAUAUUAUAGUACUCUGUAAGUUACAGCCAGCUAACCGUGGGUCAACGACUCAGCGUGCUACCCUUCCCAGCCAAAAAAAGAGAAACCCAAAUUCUCGUUCUCCUCCCGUUCCUUUUCACCGUUCCUUGCCCGAUCCAUAGAUUCAUCCACAUUCGUUGAUAGAUCCUGCCAAGGGAGGAGGACGGGGUGAGAAGGGGGAUUUGCGGCGGAGUGCGGUGGCUGCAUGCUCUCGGCGACGGCAGGUCCUCCAGCUCGACCACACGUGCCUGCUGUUCCCCGCCGCCGUCAAUUGGAUGGCCGUGGAGUUGGGCCCCUUUGAACCUGAGCGGUUCCUCUUCUCCAGAGAGUCCAUGGGUGGAGGCGUGUUGUGGGCUCGCUACUGCUGUCAGCUUCCACCUAUGUAAUGUGCUACAACUUUGCAUCAUUACUACUUGCUGCACACCGGCUGAUUCGUCACAGGUAUGCUUCCUCCCUGUAGUUUGAUAAAAAGGUGUAUUCUUUCUAUUUGUUGUUACCAUAUAGUAUUAGCAAGUUAUAUUAAUGAUAUGUGUCUUUAAGACAAAAGAAAAAGGCUUGCAUUUAUUAACUGAAUUUGGUCCAUAUGUGUUAAUUGAUAUGCAAUAGAGUUUUCACAUGUGUUGUAGGUGAUGCAUAUAACACUGGAGCUUUUUUCAUUGUUCUCCUCAACUGAAAAGGCUAGACAGAAGAGCUGUUACCAAGAACAUAAAACUCACUAAAGUGCAUGUCUGAAUUUAGUAGACCUUCCAUAGUAACCAUGAAUGUAAUUAGAAAAUGCAUGCAGGGAUUAAAUAUGCAAAUUGUACGUUGAUGACCUAUGGAAAAUAUCUGAACCCGAAUGGAUGAACUGAUGAUUUAGAACAGCUCUUACUAACCUUUCAAAUUUCAGAAUUUACGGGAAUCACUUGUCGCAUAUGUCAUCUUCUACAAAAAUACUCUACAGACAACAAAAUAGCUACUGUUACUUUAGGGCUACAAAAUAAUCUAUUAGACUCAUUUUGCAGCGAUAAGAAAUAGCAUAUAGCAUGUUGUACAGGGAAAAAAAUUGUGCAAUAGAAUUGUAGCGUUGCCUUUCACUUAUAUUAGACACUGAAAAACUAUAGUUAUUGUCAUAGAAACAUAGACUGAUUGGAACAUAUCUAGUAGAAUAUAGCCUUCAGGUGCAGAACUGAAACAACAUGCAACAGUACGAUUGUCUCUGACCACCCAGAUAAAUGUAUAAUAGUCCUUCCAUAGUAAACAUGAAUGUAAUUAGAAUUAUUAAAAAAAUGAAUGUAAUUAGAAAAUGCAUGCAGGGAUCAAAUAUGCAAAUUGUACAUUGGUGACCUAUGGAAAAUAUCUUAACUCAAAUGGAUGAACUGAUUACUGAGAUCAACUCUUACUUACCAUUCAAAUUUCAGAAUUAAUGGAAAUCACUUGAAUUUAUAAGGAUUCACACACAUAUCAUCUUCUAGGAAAAAUCUACACAUAAUACAAUAGCUUUUAUUACUUAAUGACUACAAAAAUAAUCUAUUAUGCUCAUUUUUCAACGAUAAGAGUUGCAUAUAGCAUCUUGUAUAUCAUAAAAAUUCUGCAAACAAUAGUAGUUGCUGUUACUAACACAUUGUAUAAUAUGUGAUCUGUUAUAUCCUGAAUUCAGGACCUUUACGCAUUAGUCCUAAGGAUAGCUUGUAUACAUAAAUUUAUCCUUUUUCAAACUGUAAAUCUAAUAUGCACAAUGAUCUGCUAAAAAUACCAUUGGAUAUACAUGUCUUUAUACAUUUUGUCAAACACUUGGCAAGCAUGUCCAAAUUUUAACUAACUGUUAGACAGAGGAGGGCGAGGAGUUGAUUAAAUCUAGAAAGAGGAUAGGGCCAUGUUUCAAACAAUUUUGUUAUUACGCCAAGUAAUACCUGCAUCUGGGGGUCGAUUUGGUUCUCUUUAUGCCACUUGUAAGUCACAUCCUUGGUGGUCAUCUUACUAUGCUUGUAGACCAUGCUGAUCUAUCCUCUUGCAGACAGUCCUACAUGCCUUGAUCGACCUGUGUAUGACACAACUCCAAGAUAGCACGAUAGUAUUCUUCCUUCUUUGCGACAUGAUUCUUGUCAAGUGUUUUCCUAUGGACAGGAACAGGAUGAUGAGACGCGACUGGUUGCUGCUCGGGAGGCGGAAUCUUCAACACCUAACCGAUUGAGGAGAAGAUCUUGUGGAGAGUGGACACAGAAGGCAUGGCUUCGAGGUUUUGGUGGCGCUGUAGGAUGUGAGCUGCAGCCACAGGACAGGAUGAAUAGUGUGGCCCUAGAGUAGACCAUCAGAAACCCUAGAACUCGGCUGCCCGAGAGGCAUAGUUUUGGGGUUUCGGUGGAUCUAUAGGAGGUGAGCUGCAGUUGCACAGGAGGAAUAGCUCGGCCCUAGGGCAGAUCAUCAUAAACCCUAAAACCUGGACUGCUCGAGAGGCAUAUGGCUUUGAGGUUUCGGUAGAACUGUAGGACGUAAACCUGGACAUCUCUUUUGUAUGCAACGUGUCAGGAUUUUUUUACCAUAUUGAUGCUCGUACGUGAACCUUUUUUUGAA